UACGUAGGAGGCAAGCGUUGUCCGGAAUUACUGGGCGUAAAGCGCGUGUAGGUGGUGGGACAAGUCUGCUGUGAAAGCGCCUGGCUUACCGGACGAGGUCGGCGGAAACUGUCCGACUCGAGGACGGUAGAGGGGGGUGGAAUUCCCGGUGUAGUGGUGAAAUGCGUAGAGAUCGGGAGGAACACCUGUGGCGAAGGCGGCCCCCUGGGCCGGCCCUGACACUGAGACGCGAAGGCGUGGGGAGCGAACGGG
rnacentral:rRNA from 1 species